rnacentral:ncRNA from 1 species
GAUUUAUAAAGAAGAAGGGAGAGAACAGGCUCUAUGAACUUCUAGCAACCAGUUACAAACCAGGUGCUAAUUCCUGCCUAAAUCAGUUAGGGCAUAUAAAUU